rnacentral:rRNA from 1 species
AACGAACGCUGGCGGCAUGCCUAACACAUGCAAGUCGAACGAGACCUUCGGGUCUAGUGGCGCACGGGUGCGUAACGCGUGGGAACCUGCCCUUAGGUUCGGAAUAACUCCCCGAAAGGGGUGCUAAUACCGGAUAAUGUCUUCGGACCAAAGAUUUAUCGCCUUUGGAUGGGCCCGCGUUGGGUUAGCUAGUUGGUAGGGUAAAAGCCUACCAAGGCGACGAUCCAUAGCUGGUCUGAGAGGAUGAUCAGCCACACUGGGACUGAGACACGGCCCAGACUCCUACGGGAGGCAGCAGUGGGGAAUAUUAGACAAUGGGCGAAAGCCUGAUCCAGCAAUGCCGCGUGAGUGAUGAAGGCCUUAGGGUUGUAAAGCUCUUUUACCCGGGAUGAUAAUGACAGUACCGGGAGAAUAAGCUCCGGCUAACUCCGUG